rnacentral:rRNA from 1 species
GAUGAACGCUGGCGGCGUGCCUAAUACAUGCAAGUCGAGCGAACAGACGAGGAGCUUGCUCCUCUGACGUUAGCGGCGGACGGGUGAGUAACACGUGGAUAACCUACCUAUAAGACUGGGAUAACUUCGGGAAACCGGAGCUAAUACCGGAUAAUAUAUUGAACCGCGUGGUUCAAUAGUGAAAGACGGUUUUGCUGUCACUUAUAGAUGGAUCCGCGCCGCAUUAGCUAGUUGGUAAGGUAACGGCUUACCAAGGCGACGAUGCGUAGCCGACCUGAGAGGGUGAUCGGCCACACUGGAACUGAGACACGGUCCAGACUCCUACGGGAGGCAGCAGUAGGGAAUCUUCCGCAAUGGGCGAAAGCCUGACGGAGCAACGCCGCGUGAGUGAUGAAGGUCUUCGGAUCGUAAAACUCUGUUAUUAGGGAAGAACAAAUGUGUAAGUAACUAUGCACGUCUUGACGGUACCUAAUCAGAAAGCCACGGCUAACUACGUG